UCUCAAAUUUGGGAUGGAUGAAGUUUAAUUUGUGGAGAUAUUGUCCUAGAGUAAAACAAUAAAUGUCUAUUUGGGGAAAGCUUGUAAUAACAUAGUAUAAAAGGUUAUUUAGUGGAGAAUCCUUCCUAAGUAAUGAGUCAAUAAACCUUUGUGAUGACAAAAUGCAGUGUCAUGAUUCAUAAUGAGUUUUUUUUGUAUCUAUCUUCGUCAGAGCUGCAUAUAAUAAAUAGCAGAGCAGAGGGCGUAGAGAGAGCACCAUCCCACCCUUAGGCCUGGAACUCAACACUUUAACGAUGGUUCCUCCUCACUUCCAGAUGUUGGUUUCUCUCUUCCCGCUGCCGCUGCUGCUGUUGCUGCUUUCAUUGCGGGUGGCCCGGAGUGAAGAAGUACUCCCCGCCGUCCGGACCUUCACGUACACAGAUUCGGCCACCAAAGAGUCGUUGGAGUGCGACAAGUGUCCCCCGGGAACCUACCUGCGCGCACGCUGCACAGCGACGCAGAAGAGCUUCUGCGCGCCUUGUCCGUCGGGCUCGUUCACGGAGCUGUGGAAUUACAUCAGUAGGUGUUUACGAUGCAGCGCGUGUGGCUAUUACCAGGAGGUGAAGACCGCGUGCACCGCAGACCGUGACUGCCAGUGUCAGUGCAAACAGGGAUACUACUACCAGAGCCACAACGACAUGUGCUCCGGCCACAAAGAGUGUCCUUCCGGUCAAGAGGUGCUGACCAAAGGUACACCUGACGAGGACACUGUUUGCCGCAAUUGUCCCUAUGAGACCUACUCCGACACCUCCUCUGCUCUCCAGAACUGCACACAACACAAGAGCUGCGCUGCUCCAGGGCUGAAGCUGGUGCUGAAGGGCUCCGCCUGGCACGACAGCGUGUGCGCCAACUGCCAAGACCUCAAAUCAAAAGACGGGGGCGACUACCUCAAAGAGAUACUCCCAGCUUUCUUCAUCCACCACAAUAUUCCCGGCAGGCGUCUGCGUCGUUUCGCACACAGGCUUCCGACUAAGGACAGCAAAAAACAAGCAGUUUCAGGACUUACCACCUCAGAACUUCAUUCACUGAUCAACACUUGGGUCACUUCUGCCACGGCAAGUCAGAUUCGACAGCUUCCGGCGAUAUUGAAAAAUGCAGGAGUGAACUCCGAUGAUCGACUAUUGAGUAAGCUGGAGAGACUCGAUUCAAAUCUGAAGCAGAUACCGCAGUGUGUUAUAGACAUACAGGGACAUGUCAUUGUAAUAUAAGGUUAGAAAAACAAUUGAAUUGUGCUUAACAAAUAAUAUAAUAUAAAUAAUAAUGCAUUUGUUAUUUCAUCUAUUUUUACUUCCCUUUGCAAUAUGCAAUGUAAAUACAGGCUUUAUAAUUUUUUUAUUAUUUAAAGGAGAAUACCAUUCAACUCGAAAAACCAUUUCCUUUUUUUCUUUCUUAAAAUUGACCAAACAAUCUAAUCUUGAAUCUGUCACCUAGUUUUAAAUGCCCUGCUGUCCUUUACUACAACUUAAAUAAAUUAUGAGAGUCAAUAGAGAGAGAGAGAGAGAGAGAGAGAGAGAGAGAGAGAGAGAGAGAGAGAGAGAGAGAGAGAGAGAGAGAGAGAGAGAGAGAGAGAGUGUGUGCGUGCGCGUUAGUUUUAAAGAGAGAGAGAGAGAAUAAAGAAUAAAAGGUGUUGGGCAUCAGCAUAUCUACCUCUUCUUAUGUCUGUAGUUAAAAAGUGUGUGAACUUAAUUUAUAUUGCUAUUUAUCAAAACAAGGUCUGUAGCAUCCUAAGAAGGACAGGGGGGAGGAGCUGUUACUGUAUGUUGUGUUUGCAAUUUAAGAUUGAUAUACAUGCGUAUGAUGUAUGCUAAUUAAGUUAUGUGGCUACUUUGAAUGACUCAAAUAAAAA